rnacentral:rRNA from 1 species
AUGACUUGUGAUAAUCUGAGGAAAAGAGGCAUAGCAAAACCACUAGAAUGUGUUUUUUGCAAAGAGAUUGAGUCUGUCCAUCAUUUGCUUUUUGAAUGCGUAGUAGCUAAGCUGGUCUGGACUGAGGUGGAAUCUGUCUUUAACAUCUCGGUCAUUGGCUUUGUUUCUGUUGCGAAAAACUGGUUAUGUGCCAAGAAAUGCAAGCAACUGAAUGUUUCGAGCUCCGCUGUCCUGUGGGGACUUUGGAAUUUUAGGAAUUCUGUAGUCUUUAAUAGAUGCUCUUGGAUUUCUAUGAAACAAGUCUUGGGAAGAGUCUAUCGUUAUCUGAGGGACUGGACCAAGCUGUUUCAAGAUCUCCAGGGAGGGAAAAUGCAAGAGUUUCAGGAACUGAUCUGGGAGCGGCUGAGAAAACCAUUGAUGCUUGAGCCGGGCUGA